GCACUGAAGAGAAGAUUUAUCUUUUCUACUUCUUUUAAACAGAUCAAGAAACUGGGGAGUGGAGAAUAGUGAAAGAAAUGUAAUCUGAUCCUACUAGCAGUGAAGGGCGAGGAUAUACCCAGGAAAACAGAAUGACUCCUUGAAGUGGCCCAAGCUACCACCUGAAACAUCUCUAAAGACAAAAGAUGAUGUUGGGGAGUCCUUCCUUGAUAACCAAGAGACAAGAGGAUAUUUUCCCUCCACAUUGACAUCAAGUUUUGCUAUAUUGCUAGGUUUGGUUCAUAGAAUGAACAGAUAAAAAACAAAGAAGUAAUAGGUAAGUAGAUUUUUAUGAGUUUUAUGAGAAGUUUAUGAAUUUUAUGAUUCUGUAGUUUUGUUUUUUUAUUUUCUCUGACAAAUGACUCUCCUGACCCACAUGAUCCAGAUCAUUCAACGCACAAAAGUGAGUGAAAAUAAAUGCUUUCUUGCUAAAAACCCUGUAAAUUUGGGGGUACUUUGCUAUCAAGUGUUAAGUAGAAAUGCAUACUAUACACUCUACUUAUAUAUCUUCUUCCCUCAUAGAUAUAUUAUCUUGACUGCAUACAUAUUAUUAUAUUACAUAAUCUUGAAUACAGAACUAUGGAUACCUGGUUACUAAAAUUAGACCCCUGGACCUCAUUCCUUCUUUCUGGAGCCCUAUUCCCUUUUUUUUUUUUUUUUUUCCCUUUUCUUCCUAUGCACUUGAUUGUAGGAUAUGAAGUAUUAGGGGGGGAAUGCUUUCUGGAAAUUUACUGAUGGUAAACAACAGUAUAAACAAAAUUAAGCACCAAUCAAUUUGAAAUAUGUUGUGGAUUAAAACAAAUUCUUGUUAGCAGUAUAAUCAUAACAAAAAGGUUUUUAGGAAUUUUAUGGUCACAAGCUGACUCCAUCUACAGAAAAAUAAAUUCUUCUCAAACUAGACUGAAUUUUCACAUGGAAAUCAGAAUGAGUGCAUAAAUGCAAACUUGAGAACUGGAAUCAUUAUGUUACUUUUGUUUUGUCUGGUUCAUGUUUUAAUUAAUAGUAUAUAUUUUCUUAUUUUUUUAUGAGAAUGGUUAUUGAGAACUAGUGGUAACAGUGGGAACUUGAAGGUCUACUCAUGGUUGAGGGUUAUUUAGCAUUCUCAAGAGAGUCUCCACAGGACUCUCAGUUAUAACUUACAUUAUUAAUAGGCAGACAUCUUGAACAAUGAUUUUUCUCAUGAGACAAAAAAAUAUUAACUAAAAAAAUAGGGAAAGCUAAAUCUUUCUAUCAUCUGUGCUUAAACAUUGCAUUUCACAGUUAUUGCUACUUAUUGAUAUCUUUAUUUAUUUAUUUAUUUAUUUAUUUA